rnacentral:rRNA from 1 species
UGCCAGCCGCCGCGGUAACACGUACUGUGCGAACGUUAUUCGGAAUCACUGGGCUUAAAGGGUACGUAGGCGGUUUGGAAAGUCAGAUGUGAAAUGCCACAGCUCAACUGUGGCACUGCGUUUGAAACUUCCAGGCUAGAGUAUUCCAGGGGUGUGCGGAACUGCCAGUGGAGCGGUGAAAUGCGUUGAUAUUGGCAGGAACACCGGAGGCGAAGGCGGCACACUGGGGGAUAACUGACGCUGAGGUACGAAAGCCAGGGUAGCGAACGGGAUUAGAUA